UACGUAGGGGGCAAGCGUUGUCCGGAUUUAUUGGGCGUAAAGAGCGUGUAGGCGGCCAGGUAGGUCCGUUGUGAAACUCGAGGCUCAACCUCGAGACGUCGGCGGAAACCCUCUGGCUAGGAGUCCGGAAGAGGCGAGUGGAAUUCCUGGUGUAGCGGUGGAAUGCGCAGAUAUCAGGAGGAACACCAACGGCGAAGGCAGCUCGCUGGGACGGUAGCUGACACUGGAGGCGCGAAAGCGUGGGGAGC
rnacentral:rRNA from 1 species